UACGUAGGGCGCAAGCGUUGUCCGGAAUUAUUGGGCGUAAAGAGCUCGUAGGCGGCUUGUCACGUCGAUUGUGAAAGCCCGGGGCUUAACUCCGGGUCUGCAGUCGAUACGGGCUAGCUAGAGUGUGGUAGGGGAGAUCGGAAUUCCUGGUGUAGCGGUGAAAUGCGCAGAUAUCAGGAGGAACACCGGUGGCGAAGGCGGAUCUCUGGGCCAUUACUGACGCUGAGGAGCGAAAGCGUAGGGAGCGAACAGG
rnacentral:rRNA from 1 species